rnacentral:rRNA from 1 species
UACGGGGGGGGCAAGCGUUGUUCGGAAUUACUGGGCGUAAAGGGCUCGUAGGCGGCCAACUAAGUCGGACGUGAAAUCCCCAGGCUCAACCUGGGAACUGCGUCCGAUACUGGAUGGCUUGAAUCCGGGAGAGGGAUGCAGAAUUCCAGGUGUAGCGGUGAAAUGCGUAGAUAUCGGGAGGAACACCAAUGGCGAAGGCAGCUCGCUGGGACGUGACUGACGCUGAGACGCGAAAGCGUGGGGAGCAAACAGGG